AUUGAACGCUGGCGGCAUGCCUUACACAUGCAAGUCGAACGGUAACGGGCCUUCGGGUGCCGACGAGUGGCGAACGGGUGAGUAAUGUAUCGGAACGUACCUUUCAGUGGGGGAUAACGUAGCGAAAGUUACGCUAAUACCGCAUAUUCUGUGUGCAGGAAGGCAGGGGAUCGCAAGACCUUGCGCUGAUUGAGCGGCCGAUAUCAGAUUAGCUAGUUGGUGAGGUAAAGGCUCACCAAGGCGACGAUCUGUAGCGGGUCUGAGAGGAUGAUCCGCCACACUGGAACUGAGACACGGUCCAGACUCCUACGGGAGGCAGCAGUGGGGAAUUUUGGACAAUGGGGGCAACCCUGAUCCAGCCAUGCCGCGUGAGUGAAGAAGGCCUUCGGGUUGUAAAGCUCUUUCGGCCGGGAAGAAAUCGUAUCAGCUAAUACCUGGUGCGGAUGACGGUACCGGCAUAAGAAGCACCGGCUAACUACGUGCCAGCCGCCGAUGUAACAC
rnacentral:rRNA from 1 species